GGGCGGCCCCAGCUCCCCGCCGGCACCGCGGCCGUGGUCGGCACGACAAGCGUAGCCUCCCCACGGAGAGGCCAGGGAGAAGAUCAGCAUUGAGAUCAAAGGCAUUCCAGUGGGACUGCCAAACAACAUAUUAUCUGUGGAAAAGAAAAAAGAGAAAUCCAGCUUUUGGCUUCUGCCCUGUGAAAACUGCCUCCUUCAAGUGAGAGUUCAGUCUUUAGAACUCUUCACCAAGCAGCAUCUUCUAAGCAGUCAAGCUGUUUACCAUUAUUUUUGCUAUGUCAGUCCCAAAAGACUUAUUUGCUAAUUCUCUGAUCAUGUUAUUGUGCCUCUGAAAAACUCAGCAAAUAUGGAGGUAACCACCAUACUUGUUUUCCUUUGAUACUUCCUUGAAACCUCUCUCAGCUGGGAAGCAGAUGCAUUGCACUUACCUGGCAUCGGGCAGACAGAACUGAGGCUUAGUUUCUGUGCUCUCCAUUGCUUCAGCUCUCUGUCCUUUCACCUCCUUUACGGGUAUGCUGCUAGUAACAGGGGUUGCAAGUGGUGAAGGACAGGGGCAGGUAUCCUUCCUGCUUGUCUAUGCAGAAUGGUGCUAUGAUACCUCAGCAAGUACCUGGAAACUAAUAUAUUGAUUAAUUCCUUCUUGGGGUGAUAGCAGUAGGAAUGAGCUACAGUUGCCUUUAGAGGAUGUGUUCCAUUGCUGACCAGUGUGCUUUGAACAGUAGGUUCUUUUUAGCUGUGUCUCUCCCAACGUAUGUUUUUAUCUAUUUUCUUGAUAUCCUUCUCUCCUUUUAUUUUUCUAUUUCUACCUUACGAGGCAAGUAAGGAGAUCAUCACAAGCUCCAUGCCUGCAGGGAGACAAGGAUGAGUUUAGUACUGUUAUGAUCAUGAUAAACAGUAAUUCAGUGGCACUGCCAGGCUUUCAGAGGGGGAGAGAUCUACAGGCAGAGAUUACCAUUUCUGUAAUAAAAAUGUCUGCAUAAACCAUCAUACAAUCCAGUAUAUAAUCCUUCAUUUUUUCCUCUCUAACAGUUUAUUUCACUGCAGAAGAGUGCUUUUGGGUAGUUGUUCCCAGCAUUUACAGAGUUUCCUGAUGCCUCCCUGUAGGUAUGUGACAGGACAAUUCAAUUGGCAAAUCAUGCUGGAGAGCAAGCAUGGGGCAAGUGUCUGUGAUGGAGAGGCACAAAUUAUCAGAGAGCCUGAAUUCAGCAAGAUGCCAUUUUUCUCCUCUGGGCAUUUCUCCUUGCACAGCUUGCUGUUUUUGUGGCCUAGUUUUAAUGAGAGAUUUUUGACAAUAGUUGUGAAUGUUGACAUUUUCCUCUAUUUUUUUUACUUUGGGUUUGAGCUGAGCACACACUGGAGUGAGGAAGCUCAAGGGUGUCAUAUUCAGUUCUAUUGACAGCAGAUAUCAUGUCCUAGAGUCUGAUUUAUAAAUGCCCAAAGAUGGUUCAACACUUAUUUCCCCCAUUAUUUCUAUUGAAAAGUAGCUUCUGCCUCAUCCUUCUGGUCUUAGAAACAUUGUAAUUUCCAGUUCAAAUUUGCUCAUGGCCUUUUUAUUCUUCUUUGGUUAUUUCUAGACACUGAUCUUGACUAGCUUUUUUUUCUUUCUUUCUUUCUUGGUGUUUGCUUUUUAGUUAUUUUUGGAUUACAGUGAUGACCCUUCUUAGCCUCUGUUUGGUUAAGCUAAAAAAAAGCUGACUACUCUGGUCUCUCUGAGAGGAAUGUGCCUUAUUCUAAUUAUCCUACCAAUCUUUGUCAGACUGGCUCUUUUUUACAACGAACACGUAGUGAAAAUUGGUAUGUGUAUGCUGAAGAGGGGCCCCCACAACACCCUCUGUGUCCUGGCUGGUUCCCUCAGUUUCUGACUAUUUUAAACGGCUUUGCUCAUCAUAAAAGUCACAUGUGAUUUUCAGUAAAUACAUGUUUUUUAAACCAAAAUCCCAAACACCAUUCACUGAAUGCAAAAGGAAAUUCUUGCCUGUGCAGAUUAAGAAAUGGUGUGUAAUUCUUUGGUGAGUUUGAGGAUAAAAUUUUUGCGGGGACAGUACAGGUGCUGAAAGUAUUUAAAUAGUUUGAUUGCCUUGCUGUGUGAGAAGCAGGACAGUUGUAGUGUCAGGUGGACAUGGUAAGGUGAUGCUACCUUCCCAAAAGUGCCUGCAGAGAGGACAGUAUCUGGGCAGGACACAAUCACGCUCACUCACAGACACGCCACGGACAGCUACACGUUGACAGAGAGGCAGGGAGGGUCUUUGUGUUGAGUUCCAGUGGGGUUUAUUUCAACCACACACCGAAGGGGUCCUGGAACAAAGACAGGGAGCAAUGGAGAGUCCAGGGAUAUCUAUGGGCUGAAGGGGGUGGAUCCAAGGGUCAGGGUUCAAAAGGAACAGGGUAAAGUGGUGCAUAGGCGGGGUCAGGGAGAGGGAGAGCCAAUGGGAUCACAGGAGCGGAGGACUGCACCAAACUGGGGCCAAUGGGGAAACGAGGAGAGGAGAACUUUCUAGGGAGAGGACACACAAGGUAAACAACAGGAGGGACAGCCAACAGGAUAACUGGGUACUUAAACUGGUGUACAACAAAAUGGAGGUACCAUGGACUAUGGGUGACAUGGGCCAGAGAUUUCCAGGGCUAGCUCUGGAAUCUGACGGAAAAUCUGAUGGAUUUUCUUUUUCUCUCUCUGGUAUGGGCCAAGAGGGGCCUGAGCUAGGGCUGCUGUUUGAGCCCUGGUUCGGGUUUUGAGCUUUCACCCCCUCUUUGAACACGUGUCUGUUAAUUCAGGUGAAGGAAUGAAGGGGGGACUUUCUUCUGGUUUACAAUUCACAGAUUCAUUCUGUAAGGAGAAAUCCAGGAGAAAAGACAAAGGACGGGGGGUCUGACCAUUUCCUUUUAAAGGGUUAAUGCCUCAGGGGGUUGGGAAUUGUAAGAACCAGUUAGAAGUUAUAGCAGGUGGGCACACAAACUUUCUACGAAUAAAAUACCAACAGGUAAAGAUAAGCGGUAACAGACAUGGGAAUUUUCUAAUUAAUUUCCAAGGAUUAGGGGUUUUUUCAUAGGCAGGAUGGACCACAGGUUGGAGUCGCAGAGUGGGGAGAGGGGAUUUCCCACUGAGGAGCCACCUGAGCCUCUGCCACUGGGACACAGUAAACCAGAAAAACAUGGGCAAAAGUGGCAAAGACACUACACCAGAGUUGGGGCAACAAAUAAGUGAAUCUCCUGCACCAACUUCAGCAGGCAGCUGCUGCCCACUGGAGCCAGCGCCGCGAUAACAAAGGAGCAAAUCCCCCGCGGUGGCCACCUGCACCGUGGCUGGUACAAGGGAAAAUGAGCAAACCUCAACGUAACGCCAGUUCCGGGGCCCCAUGGGGACAGCUGUG